rnacentral:rRNA from 1 species
AUGGAGUUCCUCUGGCAUACGUUGGUUCUGGUGAUCCGUAUAAAACAUAGAUGGAAGACUAUGGAUCUUAUCAUGGAUGAGCUCAAAGAUACAGGAAUCUCAAAUCCAUGUAUACAUCAAUCACACUCAUACCCGCUAUGUCACAUAAGCAACUUCAGUUGUCCUUCGCUUGUGAAUUCACCAUCCAAAUAUUUUUGUUUUAUUGGAGAGCACAUAAAAUAUUUGGAGAAUCAAAGGGACAAGCACAUGAAAUUAUAUGUUGUGGUAGAUUUCAAAAGAGACCCAGGGCCCAGAGUAGUUUUGCAAAAAUGGAGGAUACCAGACUGA